AUUGAACGCUGGCGGAAUGCUUUACACAUGCAAGUCGAACGGCAGCACGGACUUCGGUCUGGUGGCGAGUGGCGAACGGGUGAGUAAUGUAUCGGAACGUGCCCAGUCGUGGGGGAUAACGUAGUGAAAAUUACGCUAAUACCGCAUACGACCUAUGGCUGAAAGCGGGGGAUCGCAAGACCUCGCGCGAUUGGAGCGGCCGAUAUCAGAUUAGGUAGUUGGUGGGGUAAGGGCCCACCAAGCCAACGAUCUGUAGCUGGUCUGAGAGGACGACCAGCCACAAUGGAACUGAGACACGGUCCAGACUCCUACGGGAGGCAGGAGUGGGGAAUUUUGGACAAUGGGCGAAAGCCUGAUCCAGCCAUUCCGCGUGAAGGAUGAAGGCCCUCGGGUUGUAAACUGCUUUUGUACAGAACGAAAAGGUUUCUACUAAUACUAGGAGCUCAUGACGGUACUGUAAGAAUAAGCACCGGCUAACUACGUGCCAGCCGCCGCCGUAA
rnacentral:rRNA from 1 species